GGGAUUGCCUCAGUAACGGCGAGUGAAGCGGCAAUAGCUCAAAUUUGAAAGCUGGCACCUUCGGUGUCCGCGUUGUAAUUUGUAGAGGAUGCUUCGGCGAGGACUCCUGCCUAAGUCCCCUGGAACGGGGCGUCACAGAGGGUGAGAAUCCCGUAUGUGGCGGGCGGUCCAAGCCAUGUGAAGCUCCUUCGACGAGUCGAGUUGUUUGGGAAUGCAGCUCUAAAUGGGAGGUAAAUUUCUUCUAAAGCUAAAUAUUGGCCAGAGACCGAUAGCGCACAAGUAGAGUGAUCGAAAGAUGAAAAGCACUUUGGAAAGAGAGUUAAAAAGUACGUGAAAUUGUUGAAAGGGAAGCGCUUGCAACCAGACUCGCUCGCAGUUGCUCAGCCGGCCUCUUGGCCGGUGUACUCUUCUGCGAUCGGGCCAGCAUCAGUUCGGGCGGCCGGAUAAAGGUGUCGGGAAUGUAGCACCCUUCGGGGUGUGUUAUAGCCCGGCGCGGAAUGCGGCCAGCCUGGACUGAGGAUCUCGCUUCGGCAAGGAUGCUGGCGUAAUGGUUGUAAGCGGCCCGUCUUGAAACACGGACCAAGGAGUCUAACAUCUAUGCGAGUGUUUGGGUGUCAAACCCAUGCGCGUAAUGAAAGUGAACGGAGGUGGGAACCCCUCACGGGGUGCACCAUCGACCGAUCCUGAUGUCUUCGGAUGGAUUUGAGUAAGAGCAUAGCUGUUGGGACCCGAAAGAUGGUGAACUAUGCCUGAAUAGGGUGAAGCCAGAGGAAACUCUGGUGGAGGCUCGCAGCGGUUCUGACGUGCAAAUCGAUCGUCAAAUUUGGGUAUAGGGGCGAAAG
rnacentral:rRNA from 1 species